AUUGAACGCUGGCGGCAUGCUUUACACAUGCAAGUCGAACGGCAGCGCGGGGCAACCUGGCGGCGAGUGGCGAACGGGUGAGUAAUAUAUCGGAACGUACCCAGAAGUGGGGGAUAACGUAGCGAAAGUUACGCUAAUACCGCAUACGAUCUACGGAUGAAAGUAGGGGACCGCAAGGCCUUAUGCUUUUGGAUCGGCCGAUAUCUGAUUAGCUAGUUGGUGAGGUAAAGGCUCACCAAGGCGACGAUCAGUAGCUGGUCUGAGAGGACGACCAGCAACACUGGAACUGAGACACGGUCCAGACUCCUACGGGAGGCAGCAGUGGGGAAUUUUGGACAAUGGGCGCAAGCCUGAUCCAGCACUGCCGCGUGAGUGAAGAAGGCCUUCGGGUUGUAAAGCUCUUUUGUCAGGGAAGAAACGGUAGAGGCUAAUAUCCUUUGCUAAUGACGGUACCUGAAGAAUAAGCACCGGCUAACUACGUG
rnacentral:rRNA from 1 species